rnacentral:rRNA from 1 species
CCUACGGGGGGCUGCAGUGGGGAAUAUUGCACAAUGGGGGAAACCCUGAUGCAGCGACGCCGCGUGAGUGAAGAAGUAAUUCGUUAUGUAAAGCUCUAUCAGCAGGGAAGAAAAUGACGGUACCUGAGUAAGAAGCCCCGGCUAACUACGUGCCAGCAGCCGCGGUAAUACGUAGGGGGCAAGCGUUAUCCGGAUUUACUGGGUGGAAAGGGAGCGUAGACGGCAGUGCAAGUCUGGAGUGAAAGGCGGGGGCUCAACCCCCGGACUGCUCUGGAAACUGUACGGCUGGAGUGCAGGAGAGGUAAGUGGAAUUCCUAGUGUAGCGGUGAAAUGCGUAGAUAUUAGGAGGAACAUCAGUGGCGAAGGCGGCUUACUGGACUGUAACUGACGUUGAGGCUCGAAAGCGUGGGGAGCAAACAGGAUUAGAUACCCCAGUAGUC